GGGGAAGCACCGCAAUAGUCAUCCUUCAAAAUUUUUGCAUCUUAAGAUUUAAACCAUAACAAAUAGUGUCUCCCUUUCAAAAUUACGCGUUGUGAUACAAGGACAAAUAUUUUUAUCAAGAAAAUCUACUCAUACACAUAUUUCAUGACCCUUGUUUCAGGAUUGAAAGAAAACUACCUGCCUCAUCCAGAUUUGUUUAAGUAGUAAUCCUGUAGAAGAGACAAGACUACCCUGCACACAAUCUAGACAUGACCACCGCUUUAAUCAGGUUGGACUUGGCUGCAUCCAGCAAUGGAUCUGUCUGAAGAGCUCUGUCGAAGCAGAACUUGGCCUCCUCCCAUCGACCUUCUGCUACAAACACAAGACCGAGAUUGUUAAACGAAGGAGCAUAGCCAGGCUGGAGUUCCAGAGACUUAGUAAACAUUGCCUUGGCACGUUCAUAUUGCUUUUGCUGCCGGUAGAGAUUUCCAAUAUUGCAAAAUAUUGCAUGUGCUUGUUCAGAUGCUGCAAAUGCCAAAGCCUGCUUAUAUACAUCUUCAGCUUGUGAUGAUUCCUCUGAUAAUUGAAGUGAGAUACCAAGAUUUGACCAUGCAUAACUGCAUUUUUUAAAUCGAGUGACUGCAACCUUGAGAUACUUCUGUGCUAUUUCAAACUGUCGGGAACAGAGACAAUGCAGGCCAAGUUGGUGCCAUGGCACCCCAUCAUCUGGGUCCUCUGCUAUUGCCUAAUUCAUACACACACUAAUAAUGAAAAGAACGUAUGUAAUUUUAACAUGAAAAAGUAGAUUUUUAUAUACUACUGGAAGACAAUAACUAAUUCUUAAAUUCAGAAGCCAUGACAAAAACAUUACACUUUUGAACCCAUUCUAAAAGAAGACAGAAGUUUCCCCCCUCCUGUUUAAAGCUUGUGUACAUUUAACGGGCAAUAGAGUCAAAUAUCAAGAGAAAAAAGAUACCACCAUAAACAAUUUGCAUGUAUUGAUGAAUAAUAAUUCAACUCUAGAACAGGUCGUGAAUAAAACAUCUUCCUUUGUUUCUUUUGUUAAAAAUGAUAUCACACUGUUUCAUAAUUUUAUCAAAUUAAAAUAGUUGAGACCAUAUUCUCCAAGAAUCUGAGAUGAAAUCCCAAAUUUUAUCAAAACCUAAUAAUUGUAUUCAUUGAAAAAUAUUAAUCCUUAAAUUAAAGCAAGAAGGAAAUGAGAAGAAGUUUUUAUGUCCCAUACAUGAAUGGCAGAAGUGUAGAAAUUUCAAAUUCAUGCAGUUUCAAAUUGAUUUUUUUGAAAGAAAAAAGAAAAACCACUUCUUGAAACAGCCAGCCAAGUGGAGCUCCCUUUCUCCCCAAAAAUUACCUGUUUCAAACUGUAGAGAGCACACUCUUCCACAUCCACCAACUCAUCCUUUUCCGUUUCAAAUGCUGCUGCAAUCUCAUGCUGCGCCUUGUGCACCAUGGCAAGUCCUGCCCAAGCAAUGGGAAGUUCAAUUGGAACAGAAUCUCCUUCUCUCAAAAUUGAAGCCAUUUCAUUUCCAGCCCAGGAAAGCUGUUCACUGGGAUCCUGAGACCUUUCAGCAUCCUUGAUUCGGUGAACUGCUACAGCAUAUCGAGUAGACAUACAGUUGGGCUCCAAUUUUGCUGCCUUCUCCAAGCACUUGCUGGAACUUCUAUGGUCACCAGUCAAGUAAUAUGCAUUAGCAACAGUUGCCCAUAUAUGUGCUGCUUUCGGAUCAACUUUUAAUGCUGCAAGCAAACACUCCUUCGCAACAUUGACAGCUUCAAUCUGAUCUGAAGAAGCACCUUCACCAGCAUUUGCCCCAGCACCUGCGACAACUGAACCAUAUUUACAAAGAAGAAAGGCAGCAUAAUUAACAAAGGCAGCAGGAUGAUUUUGGUCUUUAAGGAUCAAUUCCUGAAAACAUUUUGCUGAUAGCUCCAUAUUUCCGCUUUGAAGAUAUGCAAUCCCCAGGUUUCCAAGGCAAUCAUAGUUGCAAGGGUCAAUUGCCAACAAAGAUGACAAAACUGAAAUAGCACUCUGCAGACGACCAGAUUUAAGAAGUAUCAAGCCCAGUGUGUUCCAAACAGCUGCUUGUCUUAUAUCUGAUUGCAUCGACUCCUUUAAUCUAGAAAGGAUUUCAUCAAGCUCUUCAGCUUCAAGUUCUUUAUCCAAACUAUUAUCAGCAGAAUUUUCAAGGAGAAUACACUGAGCAUGGUGGAUUUGAACUAGUGAAAGCAACUCUGGCCUAGCUACCUCAGCCUCGCAUUGCAGCAAGAUCUCUUCCGCCUUCUCAAAAGCAAAAAUUGCCUUCUGGGGUUGACCCAACCUUUGAUACAUUAGACCAAGUAUAAAAUGUGCAUGAGCAUUUUUGGGCAUCUUCCUUGCAACAUGAACCAGACCCUAAAAUCGAGUCUCAAAGGACAUCAAACUCAAGGAGUACACAUGUAAUGAAGCAAGCCCAAAACUUUUCUCAUGUAAGAAAUUAAGCACCAAAAGAUAAAGAGGUGGGACUAACAGUUUUGAGGCUGCUGACUUUUUCUUCACGAGAAGAGGUAGGACCUUGACCAGGCUGAUCAGCAUCCGUAUCAGGUCCAUAAUCAAGAGAGGCAUCUAUCUUACUAUUUCUUGAUCGGCAUUUCCCCAAUUUGUUCAAUCUUUUACCUUCAACUUCCACAGCAUCCACAUCUUUGGAUGUCAAGUUACUACUUUUAUCUUGACUUUCAUCAUUUGUUAACCUAGUAAGGUCCGGGGCAGACAGGUGGACAGAAUCGGCGGCGUCAGUUUCAGGAGGAUUGGCGUUAAGGUCAGCCAAAACGACGACCUUGGGAGGCAGGGGCGUCUUGGAGUUGGAGAUCUCUUCCAUGAAGCCGUCAAGGGUAUCGAGCUCUGUUUUGAUGGGCACAGGCGAGGCCUGCAGUUGGUGCUCUGGUUCAGACAUAUUCUAGCGUUUGGAAGUUGAGAGUGCUAUAGACGGGACGAGAAAUCGAGUCGAGUGAUGAUGACUUGAAGAAAACAGGCAAUUUGGGUCCUUUAGGUUUUUCCUAGGAGAUGUUUAGACUCUGG
rnacentral:misc_RNA from 1 species